rnacentral:rRNA from 1 species
AGCGAACGCUGGCGGCAGGCUUAACACAUGCAAGUCGAGCGCCGUAGCAAUACGGAGCGGCGGACGGGUGAGUAACGCGUGGGAACGUGCCUUUUGGUUCGGAACAACACAGGGAAACUUGUGCUAAUACCGGAUAAGCCCUUACGGGGAAGAUUUAUCGCCAAAGAUCGGCCCGCGUCUGAUUAGCUAGUUGGUGAGGUAACGGCUCACCAAGGCGACGAUCAGUAGCUGGCUGAGAGGAUGAUCAGCCACACUGGGACUGAGACACGGCCCAGACUCCUACGGGAGGCAGCAGUGGGGAAUAUUGGACAAUGGGCGCAAGCCUGAUCCAGCCAUGCCGCGUGAGUGAUGAAGGCCCUAGGGUUGUAAAGCUCUUUUGUGC